rnacentral:lncRNA from 1 species
GGGCACAGGAUGGGGAGGGGAAGAAAAAGAGGGCUCCACGGGAGCAGACAGAAUUACCUCCUGGAUAGCACUUAGGAAAUCAUCUAAUCCAACCCCUUGCAUUACAUUUGAGGAAACUGAGGCACAGAGAGGAGAUGGGUCUCCAUGGUGGUAGAGAUAACCCACCGUGUGAAGAGGCUCCUUUUUCCAUCCUUUUUCCUAGGGGUGGACUGAAAGAGAAAAGAUCAUUUUCAGGUGCAUACACAUUACGUACCCCACCUCUGACUCAAAACCCCUUACGGACAACCCUAGGCUGGUCCCUCGCAGUGGUUCAUGCCAUAAAGAUUAAUAAGUCCAGUAACUCCGGGGUAAAGACCUCUCCUUGGCGCUGGAGUGCCGGUGAGCUGAGCCAGGCUGCCUGGCUCUCGGGAGCCCCUCUGGCUUAUCCGGGGGACAAGGCCAAACACAUUCACGCACAAACAGUAUGUGGCAAACGUGGAAAGGCACUGAAGGAAACAAACCAGGAAUUCUAAGAGCUUCCAGCAGGGCCUCCCCUGCCUGGGGUGGAGGUGCAGAGGGCUCGCUCACGGACUUGCAGAGGAUGGAUGGGUACUAAG